rnacentral:rRNA from 1 species
UACGUAGGGUGCAAGCGUUAUCCGGAAUUAUUGGGCGUAAAGAGCUCGUAGGCGGUUUGUGGCGUCUGCUGUGAAAACUGGGGGCUCAACCCCCAGCCUGCAGUGGGUACGGGCAGACUAGAGUGCGGUAGGGGAGAUUGGAAUUCCUGGUGUAGCGGUGGAAUGCGCAGAUAUCAGGAGGAACACCGAUGGCGAAGGCAGAUCUCUGGGCCGUAACUGACGCUGAGGAGCGAAAGCAUGGGGAGCGAACAGG